UCUGUCUGCAGGCGGGUCGCAUCAUUGUACAAUAUCCCUCACACAAGGAACGCAUCUUUAGAUGGACGGUGUAUACCAUUGCUACGGGUGCAAUAUCGGCUGCUCUGUGCCUGACAUCCGUAAAUGAUGGUGUAAUACCCAUUAACAAGAAUCUUUGGUCUCUGUCCUUCAUCUUGGUCAACGCUUGUUUCGCUUUCCUUUUGCUCACACACUACUCUACAUUUUCAUCGAUAUCCUUGGAUGGUGGUCCGGAGCCCCUUUUACAUAUGCAGGAUUGAACUCAAUUGUCUUGUAUUGCGGACACAACGUCUUGGCCAACUUCUUCCCCAUCACCUGGAUAGUUGAAAACGUGCACUGGAAGCUGUUGCUAAUGGAUACGUGGGGAACGGCAUUCUGGGUCAUCGUCGCAUAUAUUCUUUUCCGGAAGAAGAUUUUCAUCUCAUUGUGAAUUUAAAAUAAAUAUAUAUAUAUAUAUACAAAAAAAAAACCAAAUAUGGAACCAAAAAAAAAAUAGUAAUGAA